CAUAGUGUCCGGGAGGGAGGGUGAGAACCCUCGCAGGGUUCGACAAAACGGAGUUUUGGAUGGCCGCAGGCCACCCGCAGGGCGUGCUGCAACGCAGCGCGUCAAUCCCUCCCUCACCGCCA
rnacentral:sRNA from 1 species